UCCCUCAUCGACCGGAAGGGAUCCCUUCCGGUUGAUGAGGAAGAUUGAACUCAUCAACCGGAAGGAAUUCCUUCCGGUUGAUGAGGUU
rnacentral:miRNA from 1 species